rnacentral:lncRNA from 1 species
UUUUUUUUUGUUUUGUUUUUUUUUUAUUUAUUUUUUUUGUUUUAAAAAAAAAGCUAGGGUUUUACAAAAAAUAAUGAAGCAAAAUGCAAGAUCUAGGAUGCAAAGGUAAAGAUUAUGGUAGAGAAAAAGAUUAUGUUGCACAAAAUACAAAAAAUAAAUAAAUGAAGAACACAGUUGGGGUUAACAGUAGGGAGAAAAAGAAAAAAAAAAAAACUAGGGUUUAUGCUAAAGAUGAACAAAAUGCAAGAUCUAAGAUGCUAAGAUGUAGAUCGAGGUAGAGGACGAGAUUAUGGUGCAAAAAGUACAAAAAAAAAAUUUAAAAAAAGGGUUAGGUUUAACAGGUUGCAGGAAGAAGAAGAAGAAAAGAAAAAAAAUGGGAGAAGAAAUUACCACAGUAUUUGGAGAAUCCGAGUGCUGGAGGAUUUGGGCGGUUCAGAUGUGGGCUGGGCGCAGGUACUGGGCGACCGGACGGAGAGGAGGAAGAAGAAAAGAAGAAAAAGAAAAUAAAAAUUGAAAGGGAAGGGUCGUCGGGCGGCUGGGAGGAAGAGGGCCCGCUUGCGGGUUUC